GGAUGAAUGGCUGAGUGGUCGAAAGCACCAGUCUUGAAAACUGGCGUGUCUUACUUACACCGUGGGUUCGAAUCCCACUUCA
rnacentral:tRNA from 1 species